ACUUAGCCCCGAUUGGAUGGAUGCCCCCGAUAUUUCAUCGGGGCAGGAAGGAAAGCGGGACUGCUG
rnacentral:misc_RNA from 1 species